CCCACUGCAGCAGCGGUGGCAGUGCUUGUGGAAGUGGGGGAGAACAGCUUUGCAUGUGUAACUUUUGCUUUUCUUCUUAAACUGCUUCUAUGUCAAGCCACAAGUUUUCUCAGCAUUAACCUUUCAGUCCUCUCCAAGCAAUGAGUGAGCAGCAGUGUGGCAUGGAGUUCCUGGCCAGGGGUUAAGCAUGACAUGGUUCCUCCAUGGGUGUCAAAGGAUUGCAAACCCAGCACAGCCACAGGGCACGCUCGGAUGAUAGAAGGGGCACCAGGUACCAUUACUGCCUCUGCCCUCACACUGUGCUCAGGGCUCCCAUGGGUGCACCCACUGUGUGCACACCUGAGCAAGACCCUGGGCUUGGGCUUGAGUCUUGGCCUCGAGGCCAAGGCCACCCUUUCCCGUGCUCCUCUCCCCAGUGCCCUGCUGUGGGGUGCUGGGGAUCCCACACAGUGACUGUUCCAGGGCCACAGGCCCUGCUGACCACUCCUGUGUCCAGAGCAGAUAUCUCGGCAGCAGCUAAAUACCUUCCUGCUUUGUUCCCUGAGUUUUACCUGGCAGAAUGUGACAGAUCUUGGGAUGAAAUGAGUGAAUGCAUGAAAUGUAUCACACAAUACUAAGGUGGACAAUGCCAGCUGGGAAGAACACACCUCACCUGUCUUACUCUGUUGCUGAUGCUGUGAAUGCUUUGCAUCUGAAGCAGCUUUGCCUUUUGCAGACAGAAGGAGAGAAUUUUACUGUUCAAAACAGUUGAAAGAAAAAUGGACUCUCACAUGUAAUGAUACAUCAUGGGCUCUGUUGCCAUUCCAAGUCAUUGUAAUGGAAAGAAUGAGACAAAGACUGUGAUCCCAGUGGGAGGUCUGCUAUUCUUGGCCUUUGUUUUCCUUCUGCUCUUUCACUUCCAGCUAUGGAUUCUUCUCAGAAGAGUGGAGUAAGGAGAUCAACAGCUUUAUUGGGUACACAGACAUAAUAUAUUCUGAUUCUGAUCUUGGAUAUCUUUCUCUUUUUUAAAAAGGCUGCCUUAAAUAAAUGAGUUGCAGAUAAUUCAGCUUCUCAUAGAAGACAAAGAUGUGAAUAUUCUGUUUAACAAAAUCACAUAGAAAACAAAAAUACCAAAUCAAACAGUUAUGCUUUAUUGCAAUGCACAUAAAACUUAGAUUUUACUUCAUUGGAAGUAUCUGAAAUUCCUCCUAACUAGAGGAAAGAUAAGAAAGAAGAGAAAAAUGGAACUUUCACUUAUAAAAACUCAUAGACAGAAGUUCCAAGACCCUAAAACAUUUUUCUAUUCAUCUGCUUAGCUGUGAACUCUCAAAAUGUUGGCUAGAACACCGUGGAAGGAAUAUUCAUGUUUUAAGGAAAAUAGAAGAUUAGAAGAAAAGGGCUUAAAUACUCUCAUUGAGUAAAUUUAUUUUGUACAAUUUGCACGCCUUUUAUAAACAAAUAAUACAUUUGGAUGCAUACAACUACUCAUCUUUGGCAUGUAUAUAUGAGAGUGAGAUGUAGCCAACACACAACUGUGCAAAUUAAGGAACACAAUGUUGCCUAGAAAUGAUGCUUUUCUUUGAAAAGAUGAGUAAUAUUCCAAGAUGAAAACAAUUAGUAUUGGACUCAUAUCAUAUUUUUUCCAAUACUUUCAAAAGAACUGGAAAACCAAGAGACAUACUACAAUAAACUUAUAAAAACAAAAACAUGAAAGGAAAAUUAGUGAAGCUAUUGAGAGCUGAGUAUCUAAAUUUGGGCUUCUGAGUAUACAGUAAAGCAUCUGUAUAUUAGACCUACUUUUCCAAAGGGCUGAGAUGGCGGCAUCUUCUAUUAAAACAGACAUUUUUGAAAGCGUGAUGACCUACUUAUUGUUUUCACCUGGAUUUCAGCUCAUAAUGCUAAAUUUCCAUGUUCAUUAGCCCUUGGGAAAGAAACAUAAAUUCUCUGCAAGUAGUAGAACAUUAAGAUGAAAGGAAAUGCAAAAAGGAAAAAUAAAUAUAGUAGUAAAAAAAACCCACCUUGUAUUUUAUAAAUCUGAGAUGUCAGCUUUUACCUCAGUUCUUUUGACUAUCAAGAAAAGCAAUGCUGUUAUUUCUCAUAUCCUUGUUUUUCCAGAAUACUACAAGGUAGGAUCAGACCUAAGUGUGAAACAUACUCAAAGAUUCAUUUUACCAUGGAAGCAUCCCUGAACCUGACCAGUUUAGCCUUAUCCACUCUGUUCACUUGUGCUUCACUUAGGCUGAGUCUUUCGAACGUCCCGUUACCAGUAAACAUCUGGGAAUCUUUUCUGCUUUAACUAGUGAUCUUCAUCUUGGAUGCUGAGAGUAUACUGUUCAAAGCCAACAAAAGUAGUCCCUACUUGCCUUGUUUCCUGAGUUUAAAUGCACAGUGAUAGAAUGGGCUCGAUUUAAGGUUAAUGGAAGUUAGCUUAUUGCACUAGGGCACUCUGCAUGAGAAUAUAGCUUUCCUUCCUUCAGUUCUUUGGGGAAACCCUCUAUAAAAAUAAAUACUUCAUACAUGCAUUUUGAUUCCAUAAUGUAACAUAGAACUUUUUAUGUACUAACAUAACAUAUGUUUAGGAAAACAUUAAAAUAUAUAUAAUAUAGGUAUUUUUUGCUGAGGCACAACUCUUUGUUGUUAUGCAAUAUAUUAUGUAUUGCCCAAUUCACAAUCCUUUUUUGGUGGUCUUCUGAUUGUUAUAGCAUGGCUCUAAAUAUUCACCACAAGCAAGAGGAAGCACCAUUCUCCAAUAGAAUGCCUCAGAAGGAGCAAGGCAGAGAUCAGAUACUGGCAUUCCAGAAAAAGUUACUAGAUUAGUUUCCUUGCAGGAAACCUUCUGGCAGUGAGGAUCAGGUGUCCUUUAUGCUGUGCAGAAGAACACUUUCACCCAUCUUGAUCCUGCUCUAACUGUGCAAAUCUGUGCUGUAUAAUACAACUUCAUGCUAAGAGACAUAAGUUAGUUUGUUUGGAACUGUUAGGGGUUUUUUGAGUUUGUUUUUUUGGUUUUUUUGGGGUUUUUUGGGUUUUUUUUGUGGUUUGUUCUGUUUCAUUUUGUUCUGGGUUUUUAUGUGUCUCUUUUUUUUUUUUUUUCCAUUAAUGGUACUGUUUAAGUUCUUUAGUGGUCUUAUGGAAGGUCUGGGAGCACAACUUUUCCUACACCAGAUUCCUCCACAGAUCACCUACAUAAAAGGAAAAGGAGAGACCCUAAAGGUGGGAUUGUCAUAAAUCAGGAAGAAAUAUGGGAUUCAGAACUUAAAAAAAAAAAAAAAAAAAAAAAAAA